rnacentral:lncRNA from 1 species
AACUUGUGUCUUAUAGUGAAGUCCAGCUGGACAGUGGAGCAUGCACCCUAUCCACAGCUGACAUCCACUGGACUCGCAUACAACGUUCUCCAUGUCCAUGGCACAGUGGUCUGGCGGAUCCAUGUUGGGUGGGAGUCUAGCAAGAUUCAAUGUGAAUACAAAAUCCCAGCUGCCCUCGCCACCCUCAUCAUCCUUCCCCGUUAGCUGCUGCUGGUGUGGGGCCAUCGGAAGGUUUGAGCAGGGGCCGACGAGGUCAAUUUUCCUGAAGAGAGCUUUGCUGGAUGGAGCCUGGACUGUAGGAGGUGACCUUGGAGACCACCGGGGAGGCCGUGGGGAGCCCG